rnacentral:rRNA from 1 species
ACGUAGGAAGCUAGCGUUAUCCGGAUUUACUGGGCGUAAAGCGCAUGCAGGUGGUUUCGUAAGUUGGAUGUGAAAGCUCCCGGCUUAACUGGGAGAGGUCGUUCAAAACUGCGAGACUUGAGAUUGGUAGAGGAAGGUGGAAUUCCGGGUGUAGUGGUGAAAUGCGUAGAUAUCCGGAGGAACACCAGUGGCGAAAGCGGCCUUCUGGACCAAUUCUGACACUCAGAUGCGAAAGCUAAGGUAGCAAACGGGAUUAGAGACCCCGGUAGUCUUAGCUGUAAACUAUGUGAACUUGGUGUCGGUGGGUUUAAAUCCAUCGGUACCGAAGCUAACGCGAUAAGUUCACCGCCUGGGGACUACGGCCGCAAGGUUA